rnacentral:rRNA from 1 species
GACGAACGCUGGCGGCGUGCUUAACACAUGCAAGUCGAACGGAAAGGCCCUGCUUUUGUGGGGUGCUCGAGUGGCGAACGGGUGAGUAACACGUGAGUAACCUGCCCUUGACUUUGGGAUAACUUCAGGAAACUGGGGAUAAUACCGGAUAGGAGCUCCUGCUGCAUGGUGGGGGUUGGAAAGUUUCUGUGGUUGGGGCUGGACUCGCGGCUUAUCAGCUUGUUGGUGGGGUAGUGGAUUACCAAGGCUUUGACGGGUAGCCGGCAUGAGAGGGUGACCGGCCACAUGGGUCCUGAGAGACGGCCCAGACUGCUAUGUGAGGCAGCAGUGGGGAAUAUUGUCCAGCGGGCGCAAGCGUGAGGCAGCAACGCCGGGGUUGGGAUGUCGUCCUGUGCGUUGUAAACCGGUUUUGCCUGUUACGAAGCGUGAGUGACGGUAAUGGGUAAAGAAGCACCGGCUAACUACGUG